rnacentral:rRNA from 1 species
UCAGUUCAGAUUGCAGGCUGCAACCCGCCCUGCAUGAAGUCGGAAUUGCUAGUAAUCGCGGAUCAGCAUGCCGCGGUGAAUACGUUCCCGGGCCUUGUACACACCGCCCGUCACACCAUGGGAGUUUGUAACGCCCAAAGUCGGUGGCCUAACCUUUAUGGAGGGAGCCGCCUAAGGCGGGACAGAUGACUGGGGUGAAGUCGUAACAAGGUACC